CCCGUGUUCUGACAUUCUUCUCUUUACAUUGUCACCCCCCCACCCAGAAAACGCACAUAGUCAAACCAUAUAUAACUAGGCUCCUUCUUUCAAUAAACGAGACCUUUUUCCACCGCAAUGUAGUCUCCCUCCCCUUUCUCGCCCAUUUCUCUUGCAGGUCUUGUCCUCCUCGACACCCCACGAAUAAUGAGGUCCUGCUGGAUGGGACAAGUGGUGCCCAAUGUGGGCCUCGAGGAACGGACUCUUGACCAGGUGGACCCCUGAAGUCGUCCUCGUGGACCCCUGCAGCCGUCCGGACCCCUAAUUCUGAUUUUGGUCAAAUUACAGAUAUUGGCUUGCUUCUGGAACCGGGAUCAGCUUUGAUCAGCUUUGAUUGUCACCACGGCACACACCCACUCUGCAAGGAAUGAGAGCCUCCUAUCACUUCACAGCCUGAAGCAGCAGUUUUAAAUGAGACCAUGGACUGGACCCUGCAUCGACUGUACUUUGGACUGAUAUGAGGGACUUUGGGAAUGGUUGAUGACUGACUUUUAAACCUUACCUGGAUCAUCUAUUACUGUGUGUUUAAGAUUUGAUAUGGGAUUUGUUAAAAUUGUGUAAUUAUUGCUGUUAUGUUUAAGGGCUUUUUAUGUAUAGGGAUUUUGAUUCACUCUCGGAAUUUAUAUGGGGAAUGGUCAUUUGAUAAUUCCUUUCUGUGAGAAAAAAAAAGGGGAGGUAGAGAUAGAACAUUGGGAACCUGGUAUAUUUUUUUCAAAAUACCUGAAAGAAUGGGAACCCCUAGCUCCUAUUCACUUUGCCUUAGGCAUUUCUGCCCCACCCCCUAUCUCACUAGUUCAGAUUGAAUUUGGAUGCUUUAGUUUUAGAAUCCCUUAUUUUGUUAAAAUUUCCCUGGCAGACUCAGUUUUGGGAUUAUUAAUCCUGGUAUCCAAACUGGUUCUCAACCUCCCCCUGGCUGACAACCCUUCUUCAUACUCUUCUGGGACCAUUCAUGGCUAUUCUCCUUCUUAUUUCUUUCGGACCUUGGCUGUUUGCUAAGUUAACUGGUUUUGUUAAGUCCCAGGUGGAUGCUGCCAUUCAGAAGAGUACUCACGUGUUCUAUCAAAGGCUCCAUACUUCUGAGUCAUUGGAACAAAUGCAAAAUCCACUUUUUGAGCCUCUGCAGUUUGCCAAUUUUAGAGGCCGAACUCAACACCCUCUGGUAUCGUAGAUGCUGUCGAGAUAAUUAGGUGGGCCUAAAGCUGUGGAGGAGCCCAUGACGGGACAGGAGUCCUGCCAAAUGAAUUAUGUAGGCUGCAGGUCCAGAUGCGCGUCGCAUAGCCUAAGACAGGCCCUCCACCGACCCAUAAUUCAUCAUGCAUAUGAUAAGGAAGGGGGAGACGUUGGAGACAGGAAGUCGGCCAUAUCCAUCCUGGAACCAGAUAACAAGUAUGCCCCAGGAGGUCAGCCACACCCGUGUUCUGACAUUCUUCUCUUUACAUUGGCACCCCUCCACCCAGAAAACGCACGUAGUCAAACCAUAUAUAACUAGGCUCCUUCUUUCAAUAAACGAGACCUUUUUCCACCGCAA